UACCCACUGAGUCACCAUGCAAACUACACAGAGCCCAAGCCGGGGGGGUGUGAGGUGCCAGUGUUACCCACUGAGUCACCAUGUAAACUACACAGAGCCCAAGCCGGGGGGUGUGAGGUGUCAGUGUUACCCACUGAGUCACCAUGUAAACUACACAGAGCCCAAGCCGGGGGGUGUGAGGUGCCAGUGUUGCUCACUGAGUCACCAUGUAAACUACACAGAGCCCAAGCCGGGGGGUGUGAGGUGCCAGUGUUACCCACUGAGUCACCAUGUAAACUACACAGAGCCCAAGCCGGGAGGUGUGAGGUGUCAGUGUUACCCACUGAGUCACCAUGUAAACUACACAGAGCCCAAGCCGGGGGGUGUGAGGUACCAGUGUUACCCACUGAGUCACCAUGUAAACUACACAGAGCCCAAGCCGGGAGGUGUGAGGUACCAGUGUUACCCACUGAGUCACCAUGUAAACUACACAGAGCCCAAGCCGGGGGGUGUGAGGUGCCAGUGUUACCCACUGAGUCACCAUGUAAACUACACAGAGCCCAAGCCGGGGGGUGUGAGGUGCCAGUGUUACCCACUGAGUCACCAUGUAAACUACACAGAGCCCAAGCCGGGAGGUGUGAGGUGUCAGUGUUACCCACUGAGUCACCAUGUAAACUGCACAGAGCCCAAGCCGGGGGGUGUGAGGUGCCAGUGUUACCCACUGAGUCACCAUGUAAACUACACAGAGCCCAAGCCGGGAGGUGUGAGGUGUCAGUGUUACCCACUGAGUCACCAUGUAAACUACACAGAGCCCAAGCCGGGGGGUGUGAGGUGCCAGUGUUACCCACUGAGUCACCAUGUAAACUACACAGAACCCAAGCCGGGGGGUGUGAGGUACCAGUGUUACCCACUGAGUCACCAUGUAAACUACACAGAGCCCAAGCCGGGAGGUGUGAGGUACCAGUGUUACCCACUGAGUCACCAUGUAAACUACACAGAGCCCAAGCCGGGGGGUGUGAGGUGCCAGUGUUACCCACUGAGUCACCAUGUAAACUACACAGAGCCCAAGCCGGGGGGUGUGAGGUGCCAGUGUUACCCACUGAGUCACCAUGUAAACUACACAGAGCCCAAGCCGGGAGGUGUGAGGUGCCAGUGUUACCCACUGAGUCACCAUGUAAACUACACAGAGCCCAAGCCGGGGGGUGUGAGGUGUCAGUGUUGCCCACUGAGUCACCAUGUAAACUACACAGAGCCCAAGCCGGGAGGUGUGAGGUGCCAGUGUUACCCACUGAGUCACCAUGUAAACUACACAGAGCCCAAGCUGGGAGGUGUGAGGUGCCAGUGUUACCCACUGAGUCACCAUGUAAACUACACAGAGCCCAAGCCGGGGGGUGUGAGGUGCCAGUGUUACCCACUGAGUCACCAUGCAAACUACACAGAGCCCAAGCCGGGAGGUGAGAGGUGUCAGUGUUACCCACUGAGUCACCAUGUAAACUACACAGAGCCCAAGCGGGGGGGUGUGAGGUGCCAGUGUUACCCACUGAGUCACCAGGUAAACUACACAGAGCCCAAGAAGGGGGUGACACCAUGUGUUAAACUGUAUAUUCAUCUGAGUUCAACUCCAUAAUCCAGCUCUUAUAUGGGAACCAAACCCAUAGUUGAAAAUCACAUAAUUUCCAGAAUUUACAUUUAAGGUGUUUUUCAGAACUGGUAAAAUAGUCAUAAAAUUUAACUUAAAAUGUAAUACUGUGACAAAGCUCAGUUGUAAUUAUUGUAUUACAAUUUCCUUAGAAUAAAAGAAGAGAUGGGUUUGGUUAAGAGACACCAAGAUACCGACCUGGACCAGAGAUCACAUGACAGUCACAAGACUGAGGCGUCAUCAUCCACUGAUCCCCAAGAACUGAAGGCAGAGGAGGGAUCACAUGACAAUGAGGAGACUGAAGCAUUGUCCCCCCCUGAUCACAAUGGACCAAACACAGAGGAGGGAUCACAUGACAAUCAGGCAUCAUCGCUUGCUGAUCACAAUGAUCACAAACCCAGAGGAGGUAUUACUGGGGGAGAAGAACACAGAAGCCUGAAGGAUCUAUAGAGUUUAAUUUUAUGUGUUUUGCCUGCAGUCCCAAGUUUACCAGGUCCAACUGGAUCAACAAGCUACUCGUGUUAGCAGUCAUCAGAUUAUUGAUGCUCAUUUACAGUUAACUAUCUGAAGAGUUGAUGGACUUUGCUGGGUAGCAGAUAAGCUUUUCUAAGACAAGUAGAUGUUCAUCUGCAGAGCAGCACCCUGGGAAGGACCAUUAUGCUGUAUCUGUAGUCAGUCACCUGAGGAUAAAGUCAGCUGUGUAGAUCAAUACAGGGUCCUUCAUGUCAUCCUGUUUCUUCCAAACUGAACUUUGUAUGUUAUGCUUUUGUUACAAAUAACUUUUCACCAUUUUAUGUGUUUCAGAAUAUCUGCUUAACAAAAAAGCUUGAUGACUUAAUGUGAAGAGACUCUGCUUAGUGAAACAAUGUAUUUGGAAAGUUACAAGUCAAGCAAACUGGUUUCAGGACAUAAUAGAAACCUUCCUGUGUAAAUAGUUGUACAUCAUACUGUAUGAUUAUCUGACUUACCUUUGCAGUGUUUUUUGCAGUAUUGAAAUGUACAGUGUCAUUAUCAACAUUCUGAAUAAAUACUCACUGCUCACUG